GAACCUCAGUGGAGCAUCAGAAACUGCGGGAAUCACAAAAUGAGCAGCAAAGAGGACGAGAGUCAAUCUACUGAAGCAGGAGAGAAACAGACACUGAGAGAAGUUGCACGGAACAGCAUUUAUGGAGACAGACCAAACUUUUGUCAUGACUCAGACAGACCUGCAGAGAUUCAUUAAGAUGAUUUACAGACAGACGCUCACAGAUGAGAUAAACCAUCAGGAUCUUAUUAUGGUAGAAAGCAGCUUCUCUUUAGUUGGCAGCAGCUUUAUAAGAGUUUCACAUCAUGGAGUCAUGUUCCGGAGGGGAGGAUGAAGAAAACAGAUAAAG